CGGGGGGAACAAGUGUUAUUCGUAAUGAUUGGGCGUAAAAGGGCGCGUAGACGGAUUUACAAGUUUAAGUUUGAUUUUAUUAUUUGAAUUAACUAAUAUACUGUAGUCUAGGAUUAUAUCGAGGUAUGUGGAAUUUUGAAAGUAGAGGUGAAAUUCGGUACUUCCAGGAGACCAUCAACAGGCGGAGGCGACAGAUCAGAUAUAAUCGACGUUGAGGCGCAAAAGCGUAGGGGAGCAAACAGGAUU
rnacentral:rRNA from 1 species